UGCGUAGGCGGCUGUUUAAGUUGGAUGUGAAAUGCCCGGGCUUAACCUGGGAGGUGCAUUCAAAACUGGACGGCUAGAGUGCAGGAGAGGGAAGCGGAAUUCCUAGUGUAGCGGUGAAAUGCGUAGAUAUUAGGAGGAACACCAGUGGCGAAGGCGGCUUUCUGGACUGUAACUGACGCUGAGGCACGAAAGCGUGGGGAGCAAACA
rnacentral:rRNA from 1 species